CCUACGGGUGGCAGCAGUGGGGAAUAUUGGACAAUGGGCGAAAGCCUGAUCCAGCCAUGCCGCGUGUGUGAAGAAGGCCUUCGGGUUGUAAAGCACUUUCAGUGGGGAAGAAAGCCUUGGGGCUAAUACCCUCGAGGAAGGACAUCACCCACAGAAGAAGCACCGGCUAACUCCGUGCCAGCAGCCGCGGUAAUACGGUGGGUGCGAGCGUUAAUCGGAAUUACUGGGCGUAAAGCGCGCGUAGGCGGUCUGAUAAGCCGGUUGUGAAAGCCCCGGGCUCAACCUGGGAACGGCAUCCGGAACUGUCAGGCUAGAGUGCAGGAGAGGAAGGUAGAAUUCCCGGUGUAGCGGUGAAAUGCGUAGAGAUCGGGAGGAAUACCAGUGGCGAAGGCGGCCUUCUGGACUGACACUGACGCUGAGGUGCGAAAGCGUGGGUAGCAAACAGGAUUAGAUACCCGAGUAGUC
rnacentral:rRNA from 1 species